rnacentral:lncRNA from 1 species
UGUUAAUGUGGUUCAAACCUCCGGUAAAUGCCCUAGAAUGGAUAAUAUGUCAGAAGUCUAUCUUUGACACUGUAGGCUAGGUCAUAUCAAUAAGAACAGGAUAAACAGGUUGGCUCAAGAAGGAAUUCUUGAAGUUGGUGAUUGUGAAUCACUUCCAACCUGUGAGUCCUGUCUUCUUGGGAAGAUGACCAAAUCACCUUUU